AGUGGCUUCCGGAGCUAACGCGUUAAGUCGACCGCCUGGGGAGUACGGCCGCAAGGUUAAAACUCAAAUGAAUUGACGGGGGCCCGCACAAGCGGUGGAGCAUGUGGUUUAAUUCGAUGCAACGCGAAGAACCUUACCUACUCUUGACAUCCAGCGAACUUAGCAGAGAUGCUUUGGUGCCUUCGGGAACGCUGAGACAGGUGCUGCAUGGCUGUCGUCAGCUCGUGUUGUGAAAUGUUGGGUUAAGUCCCGCAACGAGCGCAACCCUUAUCCUUUGUUGCCAGCGAUUCGGUCGGGAACUCAAAGGAGACUGCCGGUGAUAAACCGGAGGAAGGUGGGGAUGACGUCAAGUCAUCAUGGCCCUUACGAGUAGGGCUACACACGUGCUACAAUGGCGCAUACAAAGAGAAGCGACCUCGCGAGAGCAAGCGGACCUCACAAAGUGCGUCGUAGUCCGGAUCGGAGUCUGCAACUCGACUCCGUGAAGUCGGAAUCGCUAGUAAUCGUGGAUCAGAAUGCC
rnacentral:rRNA from 1 species